UGUCGAAUGUCCGGAAUGGUGACAUUAAAACGACAGAUUGGUCUGGCAGCCUGCAUCAGUUAUGUCGCUGGUGCAAUUAUUGGUUCUGGCAUAUUUAUAAGCCCAUCAUCGGUUUUAAUCGGAUGUGGGUAUUCCGUGGGAGUAACUCUUAUGAUGUGGGCCCUUUGUGGAUUAUUGGCCCUGUGUGGAGCUAUGUGUUAUAUGGAGUUAGGUUCAAGAGUAAGUAAAUCGGGUGGUAAUUAUACCUAUAUAAAGGAAGGUUUUGGCGAUGUGAUUGGAUUUCUGUUUGUUUGGUCGAGUCUCUUCAUGCGACCUAUGUCAACUGCCCUGGGAUGUAUGGCAUCUGCGGAAUAUAUUAUGAGAGCUGUUUUUAUGUGUUCGGAUGGUGUACCAUCUUCAGCCAAGACUAUUUUAACUAUUGUUAUUUUGGCUCUUAUUACAUGUGGAAAUUGUUACAGCGUUAAACUGGGUGCAUAUUAUCAAACUGUCAGUACUGUUUGUAAAGUUACAGUCUUAACGGUAAUUAUUGGAACUGGGUUCAUCCAUUUAGCACAAGGUCAGACGGAGAACUUCCAGAAUUCAUUUUUUACAACUGACACCACGAUGCUGGGCUUAACAAAGGCAUUCUAUGCUGCAUUUUUUGCUUAUAUGGGAU